rnacentral:lncRNA from 1 species
AUUGCAUUGAAUAUUUAUUUUUCUUUUAUUUCCUUGACUGAACUUUGCCUAAUCUGUCAUUAUUGUUUGAUACAAGUGUUUAUGGUAAAUUUGUUCUUUUUAUAUCCUAAAAUUGAUUCAAUCUUUUUCUAAUUAAAGAAAAUAUUCUGACUGAUUGUUAAAAUAUUCUCCUUCUCCAUGAUUGAUUCUGAUUGAUUUUAAAAUAUUUCUUCCUUUUAUCCUAUGGACCCCUUUGCUAUAUAAACAACCCCCAUCCUCAUUCCCAAGGACAAGCCAUUUACAACUUACGCUCUCUCACACGAAAACUUUAAACAAAUAAAUAAUUUUAUUUUAUUAUUUCUGUACUUAUCUUUGGAGCAUUAAUCUUGAGCUUUUGGUGGAAAUUCAUUCUCGAAUCGCAUGCAUCCUUGGUUUUCUUUUUAUUAUUAUUUGUUGUCAUCGACCGGUAAGUCACUAAUCGAUGCAUUCUUUUCUUAUCCCAUAAUAUUUGUGAUGGCAAAACAUAGAAAACAUGUCUAUAGGAACUAGUGUGAACGAUGAUGUUGUGCUUGGUUGUGAUGUCUUUGUGCUUUUGUUUAAGACAACAUGUUCGUAUGUUCGAGUGUUCCUUUUUGUGCUUGCCCUGCUCUUUUGCUCGGAUUUGACAGGUACUAAGCAACAUUGGAAAAGUUGUCAGGGUUUUGGGAUGGGUGUUGUUUAUUUCUCAUUAGUCUACCAUUCUCUUUUAUUAGUCUUUUGUUAGCCAUGAGCCUGUAAUAUUAUUGUACAAACACUAUUGAUGUAAUAAUAAAUUUUGGGAAUUGCUUCGGGGGUGGAGAUUUAUGUGCUCUAUGAAUCACAUAGGCUAACACAACUUAGGUAUACAUGCUCUAUAUGUUAUGUGAAUCACCUAGGUAAACAUAAUUUAGGAUUCAUUAAUUAAAUUGUCGAUCACUUAGAAAUCCUGAUUUUAGGAGUUUAACUGAUUUUGCAUAAUUAUAAUUUCUUGCAACGCUUGUUUCUUUCGGCAUGUUUAAUGAAAUUUGGCAUAUUACGAAUGACAUUUUUUUGCAUCUUUUUAAUUUUACAACGUUCAAGCAACAUUUUUAAACUCACUAGCUAAAUCUCCUACAUUUUAAAGUGAAAUCUAGUGCAUUAAAUCAUUCUCUGGUGCAUAAAAUGAUUGAUUGCAGUAUGUGUCUCGCAUGGUAAAGUCAUUGUCGACACAUGUUAAGUUCUUGCAUAUCGUCGCGUGGUUUUCAACGUACCAACGGUGUCUAAGCAUGAUAAUUUUGUGAGCAUGUUAACAAUUAAACUUGAGUACGUUUUUGCAUGUUAAAACAAAUUUUAGCAUUAUUAGAGUACAUUUCUGCACGUUAAAAUAAAUUUCAGCAUUAUUAGUGUAAGUUUCUGCACAUUAAAACAAAUUUCAGCAUUAUUAGCGUAUGUUUUUGCACAUUAAAAUAAAUUUCAGCAUUAUUAGGGCAUGUUUCUGCACAUUAAAAUAAAUUUCAGCAUUUUAAAACUACUUUCAGCAUGUUAGUAUUAAAAUUUAAACAUGUUAACAUUAAAUUCCUGCACUAUUAACAUAUUUUUAGCAUGUUAGAAUAUUAAAUGCGAGGCAUUUUUAGUAUGUUAUUGUAUUAUAUUCCUGCACACUAAUACAACUGCCAGCAUGUUAAAAAGUAGGUUUUUAAGCAUUUUUAACAUAUUAAACACUAGAUUAAGUACAUCAUUAUGUACCUUAGCAUGUUGAUGUAUUUUCAAUAUUGUGUUUAUUUCUUACACUCUCAUUAGUUUAUAACACUUGCACAAUGAAAGUCGGUCAAUUGGUCGGAUGAUGAUUAAACAAGUUGGGGUUCUGAUCCGAAUGUGACCGAAAACAUUUUUUUGUUUGAUUUGAUGAAUUCUUUUUUUAUUUUUUAUUUACUUUACAUGCUUAUUUAUUUGGGGUAGUUAGUUUAGUACAUAAGCAGUCCCCUUCUGUUAUAAAUUAUGUCAUUUCUUUCUCCUCGUUUAUCCUAUUAUAUAUUUUUAUCACUUAGAUAAUUAACAAUUUGAAAUAAUAAGAUAAUAUGUUUUGUUCAUUAAUUGUUUUAUCACUUAGUUAAAUAUUAAAUUAAUAAUAAAAUAAGAGAUCUUAUUUGAUCACAUAGAAUCCUCACGUAAAAUAUAAAUUCGGCCGGGAACCACCUUUGUGGACCUCGAAAGGUGCCUAACACCUUCCUUCUGAAGUAAUUUGAACCCUUACCCGAAUCUUUGUUGAAUUAAGACAAAACAACAAAAUAGGUUCGUAGUAGCCUAGAUCGAUGUCCUAACACACCUUAAUUCAUUAGGUGGCAACUCUUCAUACUCUACCCUUAAAGAAUCUCAAAAAGAGUGGUCACGUCGAAUCUCGCUUUGCUGGGAUCUUUGGUUCUAACCAUUACAAAUUUGUGCUUUAUGUGGGAUUCUCUCCAUUUGUUUUGAUAAUGUUUAAUCUCCUGAUUUAUUUUCUAUAUGUUCUUCUUUUAGCGUUUGAUUACAUCAUGAUUUAUUAGUCCUUUCUCCUUUUCACUUUAUGUGUUAUUUACAUUUCUCCAUGUUCAUUUCUUUUCCUUUUUCCCUAUUUAUUGUUUAUGCAUUAUUAUGUUCAUUUAUACGUAUGUUGUUUAGCAUGUUAUAUUUCACUAUGUGAUAUGUGUUAUUGCUUUUUAUAAUUGGCAUUUCGCUCAUACUUUCCUCUGCUUGGAACCUCCUUUAUUUUUUUUUACGGACGGUUGCAUGGUUAUACGGACGUUCUUUCCUAAAGCACCCUUUGAAAAAUGUCUUGUGGAUCGGUUGAUCAGCGUUGUGUCGACAGUCACAAGCUUUCCCACUCUCGAGUUGUCCACUUGAGUUCUACCAUGUCACAAACCCACUUUUGUCCUUUUUAUUUUGGCUACAUAUUUCUUUUAUUAAGAAAUAUGUGUCCCAUUCAAUGCAGGAUGCCUUGGCAUCCUUGACGCAUUGAAUGUUAGUCUCAUUCAAAGUCCAAAGAGGUUCAUGACCUCAAAGGGACUCAUAAUUACUUGCUAUAUAUUGCAUUUCUAUGUAUGUAUUGACAUGUGCCUAUCUUGUUGUUAGUCACUCCUUACAUUUAGUGUUCCUCACUUUAGAGCUCGUUACUCUUAAAAUUCUUGUCAUGUUAGGUCCUUACAAUACACUCUUAGGGCCUAUUCAAAAUUCCCUAAUUCAUCCCAACCUGCUAUUCAAUUUUUAUAACUCUCAAAAUUUUGAACUACGUCUGACCUGAUUCUUGUUUCAAUAAGAUACGUAGGCAAUCCCUUUGUAAGGAUGCAAUCUUCCUUUUCCCUUUUUUUAUAAAACGUCCUAAUAUUUGAAAAUAUGAACCAAUCAUUAUCAUUCCAACAAUUUUUCUAUCAAAUCAUAUCCUCCAUAUCUUUCACCUUUCCAUAAUGCCAUAAGGGUGCAACUUAGAAGUUUUUUUAUUCAAAUGAUUUUUCACAAUCUUUCAAACUCUCAAACAUUUCAAACUAAAUACUUCAAAAUGUUCAAAACUUUGUGAAUCUUUAAUUCUUCCAUUUAUUCAAAAUAAUUUCUUUAAACAUUAUAUCCCUGCAAUAUUUUAUCAUUAUUCACUUGUUCACUUAAUCAGCUUCAAGUAUGAAUUUAGUAUCUAAGUCUUUGUGAGAAUCUAUCUUCCAUCUUGUGAUGUCAAUUUAUUUUUCAACCUUAAAAUUCUAACCCACCCAUUCGUCCUAAAGUCCUCCUUGACAAAAUGACUCAUAUCGACAUACUAUCUCUUUUCACAUUGAGCACACUGAUACUUAUUUUGUUUAGUUUAUUAUUUAAAGGUUGUCUAGCGUUUGAACAUCGACUCGAUUGAAAAUCUGCAAUGUGACCAAUAUGCUCAAUAUCCGGAAAGAUUACAUCCUGUUUUUCUCUCACUCAAGGUAAAACUCUGUUUAGACGGAACCUCUUUAUUCUCGCGUUAUUCAUGUACCCUCUCAACAAUUUCCUUCUACAUUCACCACUCUUGAAAAUGGGAGACACCGUUAGUCUACAUUUAUUCACCUUAUGAAUAAAUAAUAUUUUCUAUCUUAUCUACCUUUCUUUUUACUCACGAACAACAUUCGACCUAACUUUCAUUCGGAGGCAGCCCACUCUAGGUCCGGUCUUAAUCUAAUAAAAAAUUUUCUCUCCCCACUUUCUUUCAAUUCUUACAAUUCCAAAAUGACAGGCUAAUAGACCCAACUCUUGAGCAUAUAAAGGCAGAUUACAAUUGAGGUUGCAAUAUUCAAAUGUAGGACAACCAUUUCUCUUAGAAUAAUGUUUUCUUUGAGUGGCUCAGGAAUAUGAUACUCCAAAAUCCAAAAUUGGGGCAUAAUUUUUGAGGUUUCAAUAAAACCUCAAAAAUUUCACAAGUAAACAAUAUAUCAAUGACGUGCAAAAAAUGCCUUUCAUUCUAAAUUGGGGCAGAAAUUUUUGAGAAUUUCUCAAAAAUUUCACCAUGAUAAGUACAAGUUCCAACGGUCCAUGAAGCAGAAAUAAUGACCAAAGAGUCAAAUUGAGCAAGGUACGAAUCAACAUUUUUUUGACUAACAAUUUUUCUUUGUGUACAAACAACAGGUACUAAAUGCAACAACGAUGUUGUGAUAUCAUCAAAGAGGC